AGUGCACGCAUUAUUCUGAGAUCUGAGGCCAAGGGCUGUGUGCCCAGAUCAGAGGGGCUAUGGUAGCAAGGAACUGAGUUCUGCCAGCAAUCUCAACAAACUAGGAAUCGAAUUAUAUCUCAGAGUCUCCAGAAAACACAGUGCAGCCCUUGUGAGACUAUAAGGAGAGAACUCAGUCUCGCCAGCAUCAUUGGCCACACCUGAGCUGAACAAGGAUGACAUCAAAGAACACGUCAAACCGGACAAAGAGAAGCUCAUGAGAUCUCAGCCCUACACCGAGAACUACAGGCAUCUUUCCACCAAGGACCCUGAGCGCUGGCCGGUCUGAGUCGCCCUAUGACUGCUCUGGUUACCUCUAGAUGUGAGGUCAAAGCUCAAAGGCUGAUGGUGGCAGCAGGGCUGAGGACCCAGUGCUCCCUUCCCAGGCUGGUGGCAGGUGAGUGUGGUCCGGAGCUAAGUGAGGUAGGCCAGGCUCUUCCGACCUCAUCUGAUGGCUUCUGGCCACAGCAAGUGUUGGAUAGUGAUGGGCUACAAGGGAGUUGAGGAGGGGAAAGCAGCACCCCUUGAUAAAGGUGGGGAGACGGGAGGCCCUGAAUUCCUCACCCGCAGUCAACUUCAGAGGAAGAGUGGGUUACAAUCUAAGCUUCGGCCAAGUGUGUUUGGGAGUGGAGGAGUGGGGACCAUGGCUUGGAUGGGGCAUCACUUAAGACUUAAGAAAGCAGGGGUACAGCCAAAGCGCCCCAAGCCCAGCAGUGGUCAGUCCCACAGCUGCUACCCGGAGCCUUCGCAUCUAUUCUAAGGGCCACCACACAGCUGUGGCAGACGGCGGGGCAAGUAAAGGCAGACCCAGGCCAAGUGCCAGCAGCAGGAGAUUGUGUGACGUGUCUGUUCACAGUUUCGUUAGCUGUGCCCACUGCUCCCACAGGAAACCGAUUUCAACACCUUCUUGAUCCCAGAAGUUCAAGC